CUGUGAACAGCCCCCUUCUUUUCUCCAUAAAAACUUUAUUGAACAAACUGUUUAUCUUUGGUCACGUGAUAUUCUGGAAAACGAUCUUCUUAUGGAUACGCCCCCUUUUACAGGCUUCGGGGCCUUAGUGUCACAGUAACGUCACUAAUUCUAAUAGUAAGCUGCAAAGUGACGUCACAGCUGAGGUAUAAAAAUGUUGUAGUCGAGUUUGCAAGGGAGCGAUCAUGUAACAUCACAGCCCUGUCCUCGCGGUGUCAUGGAUUUAAAGCAUUUCCUGUGCUUUGCUUUUACCACAUGUGCUUUGGGAUUUUCUUCUGCUCCCGAUGACCAAAAAGAAGUAGUAGAGGCUGGAAAGACUGCAGUACUGAAGUGUAACGAUUCCAGUAUUGGCAAAGUGGACAAGGUCACAUGGAUCAGGAAAGAUCUGGGAACAAAUCUGUAUGUUUUCUUCUACCGAGAAAAUCGCCCAUAUGAAAACAUCCAGCAUCCAUCCUUUCGUGGCCGAGUGGAGCUGAGUGAUCCACAAAUUAAACAUGGAAAUGUGUCCCUCACUCUCUACAACACCAACACUAAUGACACGGGAACGUAUGAGUGUCAUGUCGUAGGCCGUCAUGCAGGACGCAGUAAAAGAGCAGUUUCUGAAGUCCAGCAUGUGGUACAGCUGACUGUCAAACCUUCAAGUCAGUCAGGAGGACAAGAGAAGGAUGGAGCUGCUGAACCAAUUCCCGGUCUGUCAGUUCUUGUUGUUGUGACUGUUGUGCUUGUGCUUGUGUCUGUGGCUGCUGUUGUUGGUUUGUUGAUUAAGAAACGGCUCAAAAAAGGGUCAUACAUGUCUGAUUCUGAGGCACUUAACGUAGAUGUUUUAAAUAAACUAACUAACUAAACUGUGUCUCCUGUUGCAAUAUCCAUGUCUCUGUGCAGCAGUGUCUGCAAAGGUCAAACACAAUCUUGCAUUUGUUUUUCCCUGUCUUUCUGGAGGUUAAUUUGAUUUGAAAAUCACAAUACUUAAAUACAUGAUUUCUGUUUUUAAGUUAUCAUAUUAGUGUCAUAAAACAAAGUUGAAGCUAAUGUGUACUAAUGUUCUUGCAGACCACUGAGAGGAAAAAGCACAUCAUAAUGGUCUCAGUUAUCACCAACAGUACUUAGUGAUAAAAUAAUAAGUUUCUCCCUUUAACUGUAAUUUUUCCCUUUCCCUUUGACUUUCAUUUCUUACAUGGGAUUAUUAAUAUUGUUAUUAUUAUUAUUAUUAUUUUAUUAUUGAAAUCUAUUGAUUUUUAACAAUGUUUAAGUAAGGUUAUCUUGUAACCUUUUCAUUUUUAUGACUUUCUUAUUAUCAGUGAAAUGGAAAAAGAAAAUAAAAACGCCGUACAACAAGCUAUUUUAUCUGGAUGUGUUUUUAUUUUUUAUAGCUAUGAAAGAUAAUCAUACGAAUAUCAAGCAAAAAUCUAAUUCUGACCUCUUGUUUUUAUACCUGAUUUAAAGACAUAAAUCAGUCCUUGUUAGUUAACUACUGAACAAAGUCCUGCCUUCAAAACAAAGAAUGAUAACCUGAUAAUAAACCUAUAGUACAAGGUCAGGACCAACAAAAAAACUAAAACUGAC
ensembl:lncRNA